UGUUGAAUAUAAUUUACCUUAUUUUUGACCAACUGUUUAUAUGUCUCAAUCAACCAUGCGUCGCUUCCGCGCGUCGCUUUUUUUUUUUGUUUAUUUCUGCACGAAGUUCAAUUCAAAUCUAUAUGUUGAUACACUGAUAAAAAUUAAAUUUCAAACCAUAUAAAAAAAUAUAUAAAUUUGAAUACCAAACUACUGAUACUACUGAUCUGUGAAAAAUGUCGGUAGAAAUAAACAACAGUUACGAUUCAAUGUUGAAGGACAUGUUUGUUAUUGUACACUUACAGAUAUCCUGUUUACAGAUAUCAACGAUUUUCACAGAUCAGUAGUGUUACGAUCAUCAUCAGUAUCGUACCGAUAUCACCAUCAUACCGACAAUAUAUAUUAGCCAGUCAAGCACUUAAAGAACUUUAAUACGUCCAUCAUGACAUAGAUUUCUAAAAAACGAAUUGGAACUUAACGAUUAUACUGUUGUCAAUUGGAAAAAUUUUUGUCGAGAAUUACUUCACAACAAUGGCUUGAGAAAGAACAAAAAUAAAUUGGUGGACUAGGUAAAAUAGUAGAACUGGAUGAAGCUAAAAUAGGCAAAAGAAAAUACAAUACCGGUCGUAUAAUUAGAGGACAGUGGGUUUUUGACGGAAUUGAACGCAAUAGAAUGUAUUUGUUUUGCCUGUAACAAAUCGAUCUGUCAAAACUCUUUUACCAAUUUUCAAAAAUUAUGUCGCAGCUAGCUCUAUUAUCCAUAUCGAUAAAUGGCGAGCAUACGUAAUGAA